UACGUAGGGCGCAAGCGUUAUCCGGAAUUAUUGGGCGUAAAGAGCUCGUAGGCGGCCUGUCGCGUCGGAUGUGAAAACCCGGGGCUCAACCCCGGGCCUGCAGCCGAUACGGGCAGACUAGAGUUCGGCAGGGGAGACUGGAAUUCCUGGUGUAGCGGUGAAAUGCGCAGAUAUCAGGAGGAACACCGGUGGCGAAGGCGGGUCUCUGGGCCGAUACUGACGCUGAGGAGCGAAAGCGUGGGGAGCGAACAGG
rnacentral:rRNA from 1 species